rnacentral:tRNA from 1 species
GCCUGGCUGGCUCAAUCAGUAGAGCAUGUGACUCCUGAUCUCAGGGUCAUGAGUUUGAGCCCCACACUGGGCG